GACGAACGCUGGCGGCGUGCCUAAUACAUGCAAGUCGAGCGAAGUUUUUCUGGUGCUUGCACUAGAAAAACUUAGCGGCGAACGGGUGAGUAACACGUAAAGAACCUGCCUCAUAGACUGGGACAACUAUUGGAAACGAUAGCUAAUACCGGAUAACAGUAUUUCUCGCAUGAGAGAUAUUUAAAAGUUGGUUAUGCUAACACUAUGAGAUGGCUUUGCGGUGCAUUAGCUAGUUGGUGGGGUAAAGGCCCACCAAGGCGACGAUGCAUAGCCGACCUGAGAGGGUGAUCGGCCACACUGGGACUGAGACACGGCCCAGACUCCUGCGGGAGGCAGCAGUAGGGAAUCUUCCGCAAUGGGCGAAAGCCUGACGGAGCAACGCCGCGUGAGUGAAGAAGGAUUUCGGUUCGUAAAGCUCUGUUGUUAGGGAAGAAUGGAUAUGUAGUAACUAUACAUAUAAGAGACGGUACCAACCA
rnacentral:rRNA from 1 species